GACGAACGCUGGCGGCGUGCUUAACACAUGCAAGUCGAACGGAAAGGCCCUGCUUGCCGGGUACUCGAGUGGCGAACGGGUGAGUAACACGUGGGUGAUCUGCCCUGCACUUCGGGAUAAGCCUGGGAAACUGGGUCUAAUACCGGAUAGGAGCCAUUUUUAGUGUGAUGGUUGGAAAGUUUUUUCGGUGUAGGAUGAGCUCGCGGCCUAUCAGCUUGUUGGUGGGGUAAUGGCCUACCAAGGCGGCGACGGGUAGCCGGCCUGAGAGGGUGGACGGCCACAUUGGGACUGAGAUACGGCCCAGACUCCGACGGGAGGCAGCAGUGGGGAAUAUUGCACAAUGGGCGCAAGCCUGAUGCAGCGACGCCGCGUGGGGGAUGACGGCCUUCGGGUUGGAGACUCCUUUCGCUAGGGACGAAGCUUUUUGUGACGGUACCUAGAUAAGAAGCACCGGCUAACUACGUG
rnacentral:rRNA from 1 species